AUAUUGGACAAUGGGCGCAAGCCUGAUCCAGCCAUGCCGCGUGAGUGACGAAGGCCCCAGUGUUGUAAAGCUAUUUCAACGGUGAAAAUAACGACGGUAACCCUAGAAGAAGCCCCGGCUAACUUCGUGCCAUCAGCCGCGGUAAUACGAAGCGGGCUUGCGUUGUUCGGAAUUACUGGGCGUAAAGCGCACGUAGGCGGAUUGGUCAGUUAGGGGUGAAAUCCCAGGGCUCAACCCUGGAACUGCCUUUAAUACUGCCAGUCUAGAGUUCGAGAGAGGUGAGUGGAAUUCCGAGUGUAGAGGUGAAAUUCGUAGAUAUUCGGAGGAACACCAGUGGCGAAGGCGGCUCACUGGCUCGAUACUGACGCUGAGGUGCGAAAGCGUGGGGAGCAAACAG
rnacentral:rRNA from 1 species